rnacentral:rRNA from 1 species
UAAGGAAUAUUGGUCAAUGGACGCAAGUCUGAACCAGCCAUGCCGCGUGGAGGAUGAAGGUCCUCUGGAUUGUAAACUUCUUUUAUCUGGGACGAAACACUUCUUUUCUAAGAGGCCUGACGGUACCAGAUGAAUAAGCACCGGCUAACUCCGUGCCAGCAGCCGCGGUAAUACGGAGGGUGCAAGCGUUAUCCGGAUUCACUGGGUUUAAAGGGUGCGUAGGUGGGUAUGUAAGUCAGUGGUGAAAUCCCCGAGCUUAACUUGGGAACUGCCAUUGAUACUAUAUAUCUUGAAUACCGUAGAGGUAAGCGGAAUAUGUCAUGUGGCGGUGAAAUGCUUAGAUAUGACAUGGAACACCAAUUGCGAAGGCAGCUUACUAUGCGGUGAUUGACACUGAGGCACGAAAGCGUGGGUAGCAAAC